rnacentral:rRNA from 1 species
UACGUAGGGUGCGAGCGUUGUUCGGAAUUACUGGGCGUAAAGAGUGUGUAGGCGGUGCUCUAAGUUCGGUGUGAAAUCUCCUGGCUCAACUGGGAGGGUGCGCCGGAAACUGGAGUGCUUGAGCGUGGGAGAGGAAAGCGGAAUUCCUGGUGUAGCGGUGAAAUGCGUAGAUAUCAGGAGGAACACCUGUGGUGUAGACGGCUUUCUGGACCAUAGCUGACGCUGAGACACGAAAGCGUGGGUAGCAAACAGG